GAAUUGUUCGCAAUGGGCGCAAGCCUGACGACGCAACGCCGCGUGGAGGAUGAAGGUUUUCGGAUCGUAAACUCCUGUCGAGCGGGACGAACACCGCGCGGGUGAACAGCCCGGGCGGCUGCCGGUACCGCCAAAGGAAGCCCCGGCUACCCCCGUGCCAGCAGCCGCGGUAAUCCGGGGGGGGCGAGCGUUGUUCGGAGUUACUGGGCGUAAAGGGCGCGUAGGCGGCCCGCUAAGUCGGUUGUGAAAUCCCCCGGCUCAACCGGGGAACUGCGUCCGAUACUGGCAGGCUUGAAUCCGGGAGAGGGAUGUGGAAUUCCAGGUGUAGCGGUGAAAUGCGUAGAUAUCUGGAGGAACACCGGUGGCGAAGGCGGCAUCCUGGACCGGCAUUGACGCUGAGGAGCGAAAGCCAGGGGAGCAAACGGG
rnacentral:rRNA from 1 species